GGGGGAAAUCUAUGGUGUUUGUCUGGGUUACUUUGUUUUAGUCUGUCAGAUUAUUUUCUUUAAAGUAAGCUAAAGUCAUUUAAAUGUCUAUCCUGUGUUUGUCUGGUGGAGUAUUGUAAGUGUCAUGCAAUAACCCUAUGUUUUUUAAAGAGAUUUACAGGGCAAGAAGUUGCACAUAUACAUAUGAAUCAAUGCACUUUGUCUGCUAUUAAAGAAAUGGUCCAUAUCAACCAUGUCUUCAGAAGAAUGAAUGUUAAACUAACUCGACCAUACCACAACAUUUUACACUAGAGUAGACUGACAGAUAGCAUUUUAUCAGUCAGCGUUUACAUGCACAGCUUAAUCGGACUAAGCUCAUAAUUCGUUUUUUUCAUUGAAUCGGACUUCUCUCCUUGUCUGUGUAUACAUGCGGCUGAGGAAAUCGAAUUAUUGACAUGGACAUGCCCUCCUCCCCAAAACUAGGGGGCGAUAUGGGUCUUUUCAGCGGCACUGUUUCUGGUUGACCCAACAACAACAGCAGGUCUGUGCCAGAUGUCAGAAGUGGCUACAACUGCUGCUGGGCAUUUUGGAGUCAGAAGAUGGAGCAUCAUACAGCGUUGUUUUUGUCGUACACGAUGUACUCGCUACUUUUUCUGCAGAUGAGAUGCACACUACUGCUCUUCGCUGGUGUUUUUGUUAAGGGGUUACAGGGGUGUGGCGCACAUGCACGUGCAUUGUCCUAUCAUACUCCGACUAGGCUGGUUACAUGGUAGAGAAAAUCAAAUUCCAAUCGCAUGAUCUGGGUGUCAUAAUCGGAGUCCUCCAACUCUAAUCGGAGUUCUCAAACCCUGAUUAUGGUCGGACUAAGGUGUUUACAUGCACUUCAGUUGUCUGGUCUUAAUCGAAGUAAGGCAAUAAUUCGGUUUUCUCAAGUUUCAUGUAAACAUACUGACUGUGGCUGCUUUGCUAUACUUAACACCAUGUCACAUUCGCCCUUAUACUCUCCCAUUCCUACACUGACGAUAGGGGCUGCCCAUGAAUAACUAACACUGUAUUUAUUUUCAUUGACUCACCAUGCACUGCUGGCCUUCAGGGUUCGGUGUCUUAUCCAAGUACACUUUGACAUGAAGACUCCAGGAGUUGGGGACCAAGCCCUGUCCUUUCAAACUGGACACAAGUUUACAAACUACACCGGUGUCACAACUUUCAAGUCCCACAGUAAGCCUCCUCUGCUGCACAGAAAGGGUCCCCACAACCCAAGUUCAGAAAUAGAUUUGAUCCGAACACAUCAUAUCCGCAAAGACCCACAGAUCACUUCAAAUCUACAAAAGCUGUAUGAUCUUGCUCAAGUUGUCUGUGAUCCAUCUUGCCAUGAAAGAGUAGGGUUUGGAGCUGUCCUCUUUCUCAGGUAAACAACCUCAGCAGAUAAGUUCCUACUGAUGGGAAUUCAAGCUCUGUACAAUGAUCCAGAUCACUUGGAUCAGCAAGAAUAUCUCCUCGGCCCCUAAAUGUCUCCUCAUAGUGUCGUUUGAGAACAAGUUUUUACCAAAGUAACAUCGAUAAUCAACAGAUUAAUUUAUGUUUGCCCAUUGUUCUGCUCUUUCAUGUUUUUAUAAAGUCUAUUGAAAUGUCUUCAUGGGCCAUUACAGUCUUGUAAUUUAGAUCUGAAUGAGAGCAUGACAUGUUUACUUUUAUUCUCAAUACAGUAAAUGGAUUUUUCCAAUGUGUCAAACAUUUCCUUUAAAACUUACAUUUGGCCCAACCCUAUGUAGGAAGAAUUUAUGGACAUGGUGCUGGUUGUGUACUUGUACGACUACUGUCAUGCACUUUUCUGUCUGGGAAAUCAGGGAGUAAGAAAACUCAUAUGGGCAUGAACUGAGUUUUAAACCUACUCACUCUCCCUGAUGUUACACUGACAGGAAAACCGGAUCUCUCUCUUUUCCUUGGCUCCUCUCUGGACUCACAUGGCUUCCACAGCAGCUGUCUCGCAUGCUAACUCUCUCUCUCUGUUUAAUUUCCCCUCCUCAUCCUGCCUCUCCUCUCCCUCUUCUUCCUCUUCCCUCCUCUGGGUUUGUUUGUUCUCCCUCAGCUCCCAGGUGUUUUCCUGCACCGCUCCGAGUUCCGCUAAAGCUCCUCUUCCGUUCUGACUCAGGUACAGUACAACGAAGGCUUCUCCCUCGCCACACACAACACUCAUCGCACUGAUCGAUACACACACAAGUGAUACACUGUUCACUUAUUCAAACACAGACGGCUUCCCAUCGCGCACAUACACACAUAUACACAAUAAUCACAUUCCUACACACACACACAAACACACGCGCUGCCUUAUUCCUGCCUCAUCCAACAAUAACACCACAAACCUUGCUUCCUGUGUGUGGGGGAACAAUAGUGGGAUAGCUUUGAUGGUCAGAGGUAGUUUGUUGUAGAUACUCCCUUAUCGGCCCAAACAUCACCACAUCAGUUAUGGAUCCUGGCAGCAGCUAUUAGGAGGAGCUUCUUCCUCAGCCAGUGUCAGGAUGUCAGGAUGUACAGGGGACAUGCGGCUGCAUUAACAGACAGCAUGUAAAAGGACAUGCGGGGUGGUUUUCUUAUAGGCUACAGGUUAAUUUCAAACAGUAUAUGUUGUCGUGAAGACUGCAUCCUGCGCAGUAGUUUGUGUAAAGUUAUGUGUACAUUUAAGAUCAAGUUUAUUCCUUCUUUUUCCUGAAUAUUGACCUUAAAUUAUAUUUUACUCUUAAUUGAUCACAACUGGUGCUAGAGAUUAUUAAUGCAGCAGAGUCUAUGAGGAACUUUCGGUUUGUGUCAGUUUUAGCACCCCUGUGGACAAAGCAGUCGUUGCUUAUCGUGUGCUUUACAUGCUCAAGUACUGUCUUCUGUCAAAAAAAUCCAACCUCUUAGACAGACAAAUGUAGCAAUUAAGGUGAAUAUUUUUUGGACAUUCUAAAACAGGGCUAUUUCUUUAACUCACACCUACCCCCUUGCAGCAGUCUCAUAUUCCGGCAUUUAUAAUUGUGAUACAAAAUUGUCAAACUUUUUGCAAAUGGUCUACUUUGUUUUUUUUCUUAUAUCACAAAAAGGCAUUGAAAGGAUGUCUUCAGUCUAUUAAAAAAAAAUCCCGGGUUUUUACACAAAAACGAAGUAUUUUACACAGCUCCUGUGAGGAGUUUAUAACUGUUUCUUAAAGAGACUGAAAUUUACAUUGCUGCUUUUUAAAUAGACAGAUAGAGGGAAAUUAAAAAAAGAAAAAAAAAAAAAAAGAAGGAACGCUUUACAAAUUUGCGUGUCAUCCUUGCGCUUAUGCACUACAAAAGCAAACUUCACGAUCAGCAGCAAAGAAAUUAAAAAAAAUGUAUGGACAUUUAACAUUUUUGUAUCCUCUGCGAGGGGGUAGGUGUCAGACCAGACAACUGACGACACAUAGAAACAGCCUUUUAGAUUGGAAGUUAAUGUUGUAAAGUUGACAGCUAAAAUGAAUCCCUGUGAAUUUUCUUUUUUAUUUUAGAAAAUAAUUGGACUCAAACCCAAAGUUUCUGACAGCAGCUUUAAGCAGGCUUAAUGAAAACUUCCUUCUGCUAGCAGUGCCACUGUAUGCUGUCCCUGACAUUAGCCCAAAACACACAUCAGCUAGAUGUAGCUCAUUAUUAGCUUACAAUAUAGCCUUGCAAUUAGCAAUGCAGCUCAGCCUGAUAGUCCUCUUUUCCAUCAUCAUCCUUAUUGUCGUCAGUGUCCCCAAGUUUGUUAUCAUGAUUGCUCUCUUAAAGGAAUAUUUGGGUAUUUUUGAAGUGGGUUUGUAUGCCAAGAGAGCCAAGGAAAAUGUUGCUUUGAGAUGGAACUAUGAGACAGAGGAAAAGUUUUUGUAACUCUGGCAAAACAUCCCUGUCUCAAUAAUUCCUCAUCAAGAUUACCACGAAAUUGCAUUGCAGGAAGCCAGUUGUGAGCAGAACCUCAACACAAGAAGGACAAUAAAAUAGAAAGAGUUGUUUGGUUCAUACAGAAGGUACAAAGCUGUGCACGUUUAUCGAUUGUUUUUGUUCCGGAUGUAAUAAGUCAGCUGGAUUCUGGGCCAAUACUUACAAGAUGAAAAGGAGCAUAUCAGUGCCAACUAUAGUGGAGGCAGAGAUAUUUUUUUAAUACAAAAAUUCUCGCCUGGUGCAUGUACACAAGAAAAAGACCACAAAAGUAUCAAAUCAUAAAUAUACGAGUUUACAGACAAGAGUAUUGCAGACUUACAGAGACCCACACUCACUUUUGAAAAUCAAAAAUAAGACUGCAACUUGUGCGGCAGAAGACUUAAAACCACAAACACACACGUCUCUGUUGCAUCACUUAUUCAGUGAGUAUCAAUGUGACCACUGAUUCAGGGGUCAUAAGGGUCCAGGCAGUGUUGGGGUAUCAGUCCCCUAGCAACACCCCUGGCCUAUUCAUUCAUGCAGCCCCUGUUCCUGCAGUCCAUGCUCUGCACUGUGUACCCACUGAUGCACCAUGUGUUUGUGUACAUGUGUGUCUGUGUAUCACUAUGGAGCUCAGCCUGCAGCAGCUGUGGACGGCUGUGUGAGUAUGUGUGUGAACUGCGCUGCGUGUGUGUUCUGCGUGGGAGAAAGGAGGCGAUGAGUCAUAGCACACAUACCACCAGGACACAACAGCUCCCCCUGUUGCCACGGCAGGGGAAGCCCCGGCAGUGUGGGUGUAUUGUCUGGGAGAACAGAGGCAACGGUGACAUCAUAGGACAUCUCUCUCCUACACCCAUCGGUGGAGGAGAGGGGGGGACAGGUGGAGGCAGUGGAUCUCUUUUGAAGGGUUGGGGAGAUUUUGUGCAUUUCUCUGUGUUCUCCUAAUGUGAGAGACUGAGUUCUUCUGAUGGGGGAAAGUCUGUCACUCAUCCCUGAUUUGUGCUUAUACCUGCAGCCGUCAUCAAGUAUUAGCUUUCAUGAAUGAGCCUCACUGUUACACUUUUUCAGAAGAGUUUUGCUAAAGCAUUGAUGGAAAUGUAAAGAGAAAAAAAAUAUUGACUUUAAAGCUACUGUAAGGAGUUUUUGACAUCAAUGAAAUGGACUGAAGUUCAUACUGAUGUCUCUUUAUGAUAUGCAAAAGUAUUGAUUGGUGAUUUUUAUAUGAUGAUUUCUAAGGCUUGGAUCUUGUGUAAGGGGUAAGUGUCAGUGGAGCCGCUGAAGAAAAGAACCCUGUUUACAUUUUCUGCAUAAGAAAUUACAAUUAAUGAUGGAUUUGAUUUUGAAGAAACUGUUUAAGCACAACUGCCUAGUCAACAGGGGGCGCAAUAAUUAGCAAAAACUGAAAGAUCCUUACAAAAGCUUUAAGUAACACCAAUGUACUCAGUGGAUUUGUCUGGGCCUUUUUUGGUACCUUAGACUCUAUGUCAUAUAUCAAUCUAAUUUUGUUCGGUUUUGAAUAUAAGAUGAAUAUGACUCAAAGUUUUAUUGAAGAUGAUUCAAAUUUUUUUUUUAAACUAUUUAUUGUUGUUUUAUGUUUUUAUGUUAUUAUGUACAGCACUUUGUGUCAGCUUUGGUUGUAUUUAAAGUGCUCUAUAAAUAAAGUUGAGUUGAGUUUUAAUUUAACGCUCCAGUGCAGAAUAAUUGUUUUGGCUGUAUGCUACUGACUGAAAUUCAUAUUUUUGGCAUUUUAUGGCUAUACAAAAGCAAACAAGACCAUCAGUGCCAAGAUUGACAGUUUCAAACUGUUAUGUCUCAUGGCUGAAACUGGUGUGAGGGGGUAAGUGUUCAUAGGGUUGCUGAAGAAAAGCCCUUGUUUUAUAUUUUCAGCAUCAGAUAUUUACAAAAAAUUAUACAUUUGACUGUCAAAAGCCAGUAGGACGAAUAAAUGACUCAGAAGUUGAGUACUUAAGCACAUAGAAGACUAUUUUGUCCACAAGGAGCGUCAAAAUUGGCAGAAACCAAAAGUUCUUAACAGGAGCUUUAACAUAAGAGUUUACACAUUGCCUCACAAAGGAAGCGUCGUGCUCCCCUUAUCCCAGGGGGGUUCAAACUU